GCAGCAGCCGCGGUAAUACAGAGGGUGCGAGCGUUAAUCGGAUUUACUGGGCGUAAAGCGUGCGUAGGCGGCUUUUUAAGUCGGAUGUGAAAUCCCUGAGCUUAACUUAGGAAUUGCAUUCGAUACUGGGAAGCUAGAGUAUGGGAGAGGAUGGUAGAAUUCCAGGUGUAGCGGUGAAAUGCGUAGAGAUCUGGAGGAAUACCGAUGUCGAAGGCAGCCAUCUGGCCUAAUACUGACGCUGAGGUACGAAAGCAUGGGGAGCAAACAGGAUUAGAUACCCCUGUAGUCCCUGUCUCUUAUAC
rnacentral:rRNA from 1 species